GUGGAUGCGGCAGCUACCAUGCAGUCGUACGAGAAGGUUCUUUCGGGAACUGGAGAGUGGCGCACGGGUGAGUAACGCGUGGGGACCUACCUCUUAGUGGGGGAUAACGGUUGGAAACGACCGCUAAUACCGCAUACGCCCUUCGGGGGAAAGAUUUAUCGCUAAGAGAUGGACCCGCGUUGGAUUAGAUAGUUGGUGAGGUAACGGCUCACCAAGUCAGCGAUCCAUAGCUGGUUUGAGAGGAUGAUCAGCCACACUGGGACUGAGACACGGCCCAGACUCCUACGGGAGGCAGCAGUGGGGAAUAUUGGACAAUGGGCGCAAGCCUGAUCCAGCCAUGCCGCGUGAGUGAAGAAGGCCUUCGGGUUGUAAAGCUCUUUCAGAUGCGAAGAUGAUGACGGUAACAUCAGAAGAAGCCCCGGCUAAUUUCGUGCCAGCAGCCGCGGUAAUACGAAAGGGGCAAGCGUUGUUCGGAUUUACUGGGCGUAAAGGGCACGCAGGCGGUCCUGCCAGUCAGGG
rnacentral:rRNA from 1 species